CCAGAUGCACAAUUUAUUGGAAUUGAUUAAACAGGAACAAAACAUUUAUAACAUAGUAUUUCAUGAGCUGAUCCGUCAGACAAGUGUUGAGUGUGUUGAGAGAGGUGAACUUUUGGCAGAACUAAGAAAGAAGUACAGUGAUUUGAUCAACAGGAUACCACAACAAGUUAUGAGUUUACAUGAAGAGGUCAUGGCACAGAGAGCAUUAGACAGACGACUGACAGAGGAACUACUGAGAUUUAAAGGAACUAUCUCAUAUCUUACCAGUGAAUUGACUGAUGUCAAAGAACAUGAUCUGAAAGUAACCAAAGAAGCUCUCAAGGCACAAGAGGAUGUAAGUG
rnacentral:sRNA from 1 species